CCUAGCGGCGGACGGGUGAGUAAUGCUUAGGAAUCUGCCUAUUAGUGGGGGACAACAUUCCGAAAGGAAUGCUAAUACCGCAUACGUCCUACGGGAGAAAGCAGGGGACCUUCGGGCCUUGCGCUAAUAGAUGAGCCUAAGUCGGAUUAGCUAGUUGGUGGGGUAAAGGCCUACCAAGGCGACGAUCUGUAGCGGGUCUGAGAGGAUGAUCCGCCACACUGUGACUGAGACACGGCCCAGACUCCUACGGGAGGCAGCAGUGGGGAAUAUUGGACAAUGGGGGGAACCCUGAUCCAGCCAUGCCGCGUGUGUGAAGAAGGCCUUUUGGUUGUAAAGCACUUUAAGCGAGGAGGAGGCUACUAGUAUUAAUACUACUGGAUAGUGGACGUUACUCGCAGAAUAAGCACCGGCUAACUCUGUGCCAGCAGCCGCGGUAAUACAGAGGGUGCGAGCGUUAAUCGGAUUUACUGGGCGUAAAGCGUGCGUAGGCGGCUGAUUAAGUCGGAUGUGAAAUCCCUGAGCUUAACUUAGGAAUUGCAUUCGAUACUGGUCAGCUAGAGUAUGGGAGAGGAUGGUAGAAUUCCAGGUGUAGCGGUGAAAUGCGUAGAGAUCUAGAGGAAUACCGAUGGCGAAGGCAGCCAUCUGGCCUAAUACUGACGCUGAGGUACGAAAGCAUGGGGAGCAAACAGGAUUAGAUACCCUGGUAGUCCAUGCCGUANACGAUGUCUACUAGCCGUUGGGGCCUUUGAGGCUUUAGUGGCGCAGCUAACGCGAUAAGUAGACCGCC
rnacentral:rRNA from 1 species